CCUACGGGAGGCAGCAGUGGGGAAUUUUGCGCAAUGGGGGCAACCCUGACGCAGCAACGCCGCGUGAGUGAUGAAGGCCUUCGGGUCGUAAAGCUCUGUCAGAGGGGAAGAAAUGCAGGUGGUGAACAACCAUUCUGUUUGACGGUACCCUCAAAGGAAGCACCGGCUAACUCCGUGCCAGCAGCCGCGGUAAUACGGAGGGUGCGAGCGUUGUUCGGAAUUAUUGGGCGUAAAGCGCGUGUAGGCGGUUUGUUAAGUCUGAUGUGAAAGCCCCGGGCUCAACCUGGGAAGUGCAUUGGAUACUGGCAGACUUGAGUACGGGAGAGGAGAGUGGAAUUCCCAGUGUAGGAGUGAAAUCCGUAGAUAUUGGGAGGAACACCGAUGGCGAAGGCAGCCCCCUGGGCCUGUACUGACGCUCAUGCACGAAAGCGUGGGAAACAAACAGGAUUAGAUCCCCCUGUAGU
rnacentral:rRNA from 1 species